rnacentral:rRNA from 1 species
CUACAGGCUUAACACAUGCAAGUCGAGGGGCAUCAGGAAGAAAGCUUGCUUUCUUUGCUGGCGACCGGCGCACGGGUGAGUAACACGUAUCCAACCUGCCCUUUACUCGGGGAUAGCCUUUCGAAAGAAAGAUUAAUACCCGAUGGCAUAAUGAUUCCGCAUGGUUUCAUUAUUAAAGGAUUCCGGUAAAGGAUGGGGAUGCGUUCCAUUAGGUUGUUGGUGAGGUAACGGCCCACCAAGCCUUCGAUGGAUAGGGGUUCUGAGAGGAAGGUCCCCCACAUUGGAACUGAGACACGGUCCAAACUCCUACGGGAGGCAGCAGUGAGGAAUAUUGGUCAAUGGGCGGUAGCCUGAACCAGCCAAGUAGCGUGAAGGAUGAAGGCUCUAUGGGUCGUAAACUUCUUUUAUAUAAGAAUAAAGUGCAGUAUGUAUACUGUUUUGUAUGUAUUAUAUGAAUAAGGAUCGGCUAACUCCGUGCCAGCAGCCGCGGUAAUACGGAGGAUCCGAGCGUUAUCCGGAUUUAUUGGGUUUAAAGGGAGCGUAGGUGGACUGGUAAGUCAGUUGUGAAAGUUUGCGGCUCAACCGUAAAAUUGCAGUUGAUACUGUCAGUCUUGAGUACAGUAGAGGUGGGCGGAAUUCGUGGUGUAGCGGUGAAAUGCUUAGAUAUCACGAAGAACUCCGAUUGCGAAGGCAGCUCACUGGACUGCAACUGACACUGAUGCUCGAAAGUGUGGGUAUCAAACAGGAUUAGAUACCCUGGUAGUCCACACAGUAAACGAUGAAUACUCGCUGUUUGCGAUAUACAGUAAGCGGCCAAGCGAAAGCAUUAAGUAUUCCACCUGGGGAGUACGCCGGCAACGGUGAAACUCAAAGGAAUUGACGGGGGCCCGCACAAGCGGAGGAACAUGUGGUUUAAUUCGAUGAUACGCGAGGAACCUUACCCGGGCUUAAAUUGCAGUGGAAUGAUGUGGAAACAUGUCAGUGAGCAAUCACCGCUGUGAAGGUGCUGCAUGGUUGUCGUCAGCUCGUGCCGUGAGGUGUCGGCUUAAGUGCCAUAACGAGCGCAACCCUUAUCUUCAGUUACUAACAGGUCAUGCUGAGGACUCUGGAGAGACUGCCGUCGUAAGAUGUGAGGAAGGUGGGGAUGACGUCAAAUCAGCACGGCCCUUACGUCCGGGGCUACACACGUGUUACAAUGGGGGGUACAGAAGGCAGCUAGCGGGUGACCGUAUGCUAAUCCCAAAAGCCUCUCUCAGUUCGGAUCGAAGUCUGCAACCCGACUUCGUGAAGCUGGAUUCGCUAGUAAUCGCGCAUCAGCCACGGCGCGGUGAAUACGUUCCCGGGCCUUGUACACACCGCCCGUCAAGCCAUGGGAGCCGGGGGUACCUGAAGUACGUAACCGCAAGGAUCGUCCUAGGGUAAAACUGGUGACUGGGGCUAAGUA